rnacentral:rRNA from 1 species
UACAGAGGGUGCGAGCGUUGUUCGGAAUUACUGGGCGUAAAGCGUGCGCAGGCGGUUUUGUAAGCCAGAUGUGAAAUCCCCGGGCUUAACCUGGGAAUGGCAUUUGGGACUGCAAGGCUGGAGUGUGGCAGAGGAGACUGGAAUUCCCGGUGUAGCAGUGAAAUGCGUAGAUAUCGGGAGGAAUACCGAUGGCGAAGGCAGGUCUCUGGGCUGACACUGACGCUCAUGCACGAAAGCGUGGGGAGCAAACAGG